rnacentral:rRNA from 1 species
CCGGAAGACUAAUCGAGUGGCGGACGGGUGAGUAACGCGUGAGCAACCUGUCCCAGACAGGGGGAUAACACUUGGAAACAGGUGCUAAUACCGCAUAAGACCACGGGGUCACAUGGGCUCUGGGGGUAAAAAGGAGCAAUCCGGUUUGGGGUGGGCUCGCGUCCGAUUAGAUAGUUGGUGAGGUAACGGCCCACCAAGUCGACGAUCGGUAGCCGACCUGAGAGGGUGAUCGGCCACAUUGGAACUGAGAGACGGUCCAAACUCCUACGGGAGGCAGCAGUGGGGAAUAUUGGGCAAUGGGCGAAAGCCCUGACCCAGCAACGCCGCGUGAGUGAAGAAGGCCUUCGGGUUGUAAAGCUCUGUUAUAGGGGACGAAGGAAGUGACGGUACCCUAUAAGGAAGCCCCGGCUAACUACGUGCCAGCCGCAGC